AUUGAACGCUGGCGGCAUGCUUUACACAUGCAAGUCGAACGGCAGCAUGGGCUUCGGCCUGAUGGCGAGUGGCGAACGGGUGAGUAAUGCAUCGGAACGUACCCAGUCGUGGGGGAUAACGUAGCGAAAGUUACGCUAAUACCGCAUACGACCUGAGGGUGAAAGCAGGGGACCUUUGGACCUUGUGCGAUUGGAGCGGCCGAUGUCAGAUUAGCUAGUUGGUGGGGUAAAGGCCUACCAAGGCGACGAUCUGUAGCGGGUCUGAGAGGAUGAUCCGCCACACUGGGACUGAGACACGGCCCAGACUCCUACGGGAGGCAGCAGUGGGGAAUUUUGGACAAUGGGCGCAAGCCUGAUCCAGCCAUGCCGCGUGCGGG
rnacentral:rRNA from 1 species